CCAGACUCCUACGGGAGGCAGCAGUAGGGAAUAUUGCGCAAUGGGGGAAACCCUGACGCAGCAAUGCCACGUGAGUGAGGAAGGCUCUAGGGUCGUAAAGCUCUGUCCUAUAGGAAGAACGGCUUUGGGUAACGCCAAAGUUUGACGGUACUAUAGAAGAAAGCACCGGCUAACUCCGUGCCAGCAGCCGCGGUAACACGGAGGGCGCAAACGUUGCUCGGAAUCACUGGGCAUAAAGCGCACGUAGGCGGCCGUCUAAGUCGGGUGUGAAAGCCCUCGGCUCAACCGAGGAAU
rnacentral:rRNA from 1 species